rnacentral:misc_RNA from 1 species
AGGAAGAUGCUGCACUAUGGUUAGACCAUACAAAAAUUUUCCAGAAAGGCCUUUGCUUGCGCUUGGGAUGGUUAGCUAACAGCUCUGAUUCUGAUCUUUUCAACAUCUCCCACAUCACUUGAACAUCCUCAUAUCCACAGGUCUGUAUAUCAUUGUGAAGCUUCAGAAGUCCAGCACCAUUAUUGCGAGGCUUGAAACGAGCAGAGAG